rnacentral:rRNA from 1 species
GGCGUGCCUAAUACAUGCAAGUCCGAACGCUUCUUUCCUCCCGAGUGCUUGCACUCAAUUGGAAAGAGGAGUGGCGGACGGGUGAGUAACACGUGGGUAACCUACCCAUCAGAGGGGGAUAACACUUGGAAACAGGUGCUAAUACCGCAUAACAGUUUAUGCCGCAUGGCAUAAGAGUGAAAGGCGCUUUCGGGUGUCGCUGAUGGAUGGACCCGCGGUGCAUUAGCUAGUUGGUGAGGUAACGGCUCACCAAGGCCACGAUGCAUAGCCGACCUGAGAGGGUGAUCGGCCACACUGGGACUGAGACACGGCCCAGACUCCUACGGGAGGCAGCAGUAGGGAAUCUUCGGCAAUGGACGAAAGUCUGACCGAGCAACGCCGCGUGAGUGAAGAAGGUUUUCGGAUCGUAAAACUCUGUUGUUAGAGAAGAACAAGGACGUUAGUAACUGAACGUCCCCUGACGGUAUCUAACCAGAAAGCCACGGCUAACUACGUGCCAGCAGCCGCGGUAAUACGUAGGUGGCAAGCGUUGUCCGGAUUUAUUGGGCGUAAAGCGAGCGCAGGCGGUUUCUUAAGUCUGAUGUGAAAGCCCCCGGCUCAACCGGGGAGGGUCAUUGGAAACUGGGAGACUUGAGUGCAGAAGAGGAGAGUGGAAUUCCAUGUGUAGCGGUGAAAUGCGUAGAUAUAUGGAGGAACACCA